GAUGAACGCUGGCGGCGUGCCUAAUACAUGCAAGUCGAGCGAACAGACGAGGAUCUUGCUCCUCUGACGUUAGCGGCGGACGGGUGAGUAACACGUGGAUAACCUACCUAUAAGACUGGGAUAACUUCGGGAAACCGGAUCUAAUACCGGAUGAUAUAUUGAACCGCAUGGUUCAAUAGUGAAAGACGGUUUUGCUGUCACUUAUAGAUGGAUCCGCGCCGCAUUAGCUAGUUGGUAAGGUAACGGCUUACCAAGGCAACGAUGCGUAGCCGACCUGAGAGGGUGAUCGGCCACACUGGAACUGAGACACGGUCCAGACUCCUACGGGAGGCAGCAGUAGGGAAUCUUCGGCAAUGGGCGAAAGCCUGACGGAGCAACGCCGCGUGAGUGAUGAAGGUCUUCGGAUCGUAAAACUCUGUUAUUAGGGAAGAACAAAUGUGUAAGAAACUAUGCAUGUCUUGACGGUACCAAAAGAGAAAGCAACGGCUAACUACGUG
rnacentral:rRNA from 1 species